GACGAACGCUGGCGGCGUGCUUAACACAUGCAAGUCGAACGGAAAGGCCCUGCUUUUGUGGGGUGCUCGAGUGGCGAACGGGUGAGUAACACGUGAGUAACCUGCCCUUGACUUUGGGAUAACUUCAGGAAACUGGGGCUAAUACCGGAUAGGAGCUCCUGCUGCAUGGUGGGGGUUGGAAAGUUUCGGCGGUUGGGGAUGGACUCGCGGCUUAUCAGCUUGUUGGUGGGGUAGUGGCUUACCAAGGCUUUGACGGGUAGCCGGCCUGAGAGGGUGACCGGCCACAUUGGAACUGGGAUACGGCCCAGACUCCUACGGGAGGCAGCAGUGGGGAAUAUUGCACAAUGGGCGGAAGCCUGAUGCAGCAACGCGGCGUGCGGGAUGACGGCCUUCGGGUUGUAAACCGCUUUCGCCUGUGACGAGGCGUGGGUGACGGUAAUGGGUAAAGAAGCACCGGCAAACUACGU
rnacentral:rRNA from 1 species